GACCAGGGAUGGGAAUCGAACCCACAAUGUUCCGCUUACCGGGCAGAUGCCAUGUCCACUAGGCUACCCUGGA